CCCGCCCACCUGGUCAAAAGCUCCCCAAACUUGUCCCAAAUGGUUUGCCCUACGUUAUUUUUGUCUAACUAUUAUAAUUAUGUUAUCGACAGACCUGCUCCGACGAAUAUUCACUUUUGUUGUUUGUAAUUCUGCCAACAGGCUGGAGGGCUAAAGCCUUCUCGCCAAUGCGUGCUAAGCUAAAAGCUAUCUUUAGCUUAGCUACAGGACGUAGCAUGAGUCGGUGAAAACAAUGUUGUUCUUAAAACGGUCGUUCUUCAAGUCAAGCGAAAGAGUAAGACGACGUUUUAGGAUGACGAAGGCGUUUCCGCCUUCUUCGAACAUUGUCCCAAGCUUGUGGGUCAAUCUGUGAGGGCCGUCUGCUGGAAGGUCACAGGUUUGAAGCCAGCACUCAGCUGACGAUACCAGUCCUUCCAUCCAUGGCGUCCCUACCUGCGCCCGUGCUUGCCACCUACCUGCCCCCGUGCUUGCCACCUGGUUCGCAUCCCUCACUUGGGCGGCCUGGACCCAGCUGGACCUGAAGCGUUGCCACGGACACCCAGCAUCAUAUUCUGCAGCCAAAGGGGCGGAUCCAUUUUCUGCAACAUCAAUCAUCUCGCCAGUACGAUGAACAUGUUGUCAAGUGAUGAAGCGCCACCUCCGGACCACAUCAGCACCAUCAGAGGGAUCGGGGUCUGGCAGGUCCAAGACCCCCACCCCCCUCACCCCCCCGUCACAAGCUGACCCUUACAUUUAAUUAAUUAAAAUUAGCAUCUGUCCCCUUGGCAUUGACUUGUUACGUCGCAUACAAUCAGCUUGUGUAUCCUGCCCUGCCCCCCGGCCCUGGUCCUCACCAGGCCCCACACCCUAAUUAGACCAUGGGGGGAGGGGGGGGGGGGAGAUGAAGGAUCUGGACAAGGAGUACAGAGGGGGGAGGGGGGGCACAAAGAGUCUUGCUGGGUUGAGCCCCUGGGGGUAAGGGGGUAUUUAUACAUGUGAUGGGGGGGUCUCUGUGUUGUUAACCUCCUCAUCUUCAUCAUCUUCAUCGUCAUCUUCAUUAUCUUUAUCAUCUGCAUCAUCUUCAUCGUCAUGUUCAUUGUCUUUAACAUCGUCUCCAUCGUCUCAACUUUGUUGACUUCCUCAUCUUCAUAGUCUUCGUCGUCUUCAU